rfam:Paenibacillus sp. FSL R5-0912, complete genome.
CAUGUACAAACGCAAACCGUUUCGAAAGAGCGGGACGCAAAGUCAGGAAUCUGAUGCCCCUUAAGUCCGGGCUAUGGUCGUCCGGCCGCCGUG